rnacentral:lncRNA from 1 species
UAAAAUUCAAUAAAUUAAUAUAAUAUUUCAAAAUAUUGUAAAAAAUCUAUACUAAGCUAUCAUUACCCAUUUUUAAAACCAACCAUUUCAUUGGUUACAAAUUUACACCCUUUUGUUUUUCUAUUUUCUCUCUUCUUCCCAUGUUGUGAUUCCAUUCUUGUCGUUUUCGUCUUUUAACUCACUUCCACACACCAAACUAGUUUGGGAAAUUGCUUCACUCCUUUUUUUUUCAUGCAGUAAUUAUUGCCCCCU